rnacentral:rRNA from 1 species
GACGAACGCUGGCGGCGUGCUUAACACAUGCAAGUCGAACGGUAAGGCCCUUCGGGGUACACGAGUGGCGAACGGGUGAGUAACACGUGGGUGAUCUGCCCUGCACUUUGGGAUAAGCCUGGGAAACUGGGUCUAAUACCGGAUAGGACCAUGCGCUGCACGGUGUGUGGUGGAAAGCUUUUGCGAUGUGGGAUGGGCCCGCGGCCUAUCAGCUUGUUGGUGGGGUAAUGGCCUACCAAGGCGACGACGGGUAGCCGGCCUGAGAGGGUGACCGGCCACACUGGGACUGAGAUACGGCCCAGACUCCUACGGGAGGCAGCAGUGGGGAAUAUUGCACAAUGGGCGCAAGCCUGAUGCAGCGACGCCGCGUGAGGGAUGACGGCCUUCGGGUUGUAAACCUCUUUCAGUAGGGACGAAGCGCAAGUGACGGUACCUACAGAAGAAGGACCGGCCAACUACGUGCCAGCAGCCGCGGUAA